UCGAGAAUCUUCGGCAAUGGGCGCAAGCCUGACCGAGCGACGCCGCGUGGAGGAUGAAGGCCUUCGGGUUGUAAACUCCUGUCGAGGGGGAGGAAGUCCCGAGCAAUCGGGGUUGACCGAUCCCUGGAGGAAGCACGGGCUAAGUUCGUGCCAGCAGCCGCGGUAAGACGAACCGUGCGAACGUUAUUCGGAAUCACUGGGCUUAAAGCGCGUGUAGGCGGAUGGGAACGUCGGUAGUUGAAAGCCCCCGGCUCAACCGGGGAAGUGGUGCCGAAACGACCCGUCUGGAGGGACGUAGGGGGACCUGGAACUUCCGGUGGAGCGGUGAAAUGCGUUGAGAUCGGAAGGAACGCCCGUGGCGAAAGCGAGGUCCUGGACGUCUACUGACGCUGAGACGCGAAAGCUAGGGGAGCAAACG
rnacentral:rRNA from 1 species